rnacentral:rRNA from 1 species
GUGGAGCAUGUGGUUUAAUUCGACGCAACGCGAAGAACCUUACCAGGUCUUGACAUCCUAGAAACUUAGCAGAGAUGCUUUGGUGCCUUCGGGAAUCUAGUGACAGGUGCUGCAUGGCUGUCGUCAGCUCGUGUCGUGAGAUGUUGGGUUAAGUCCCGUAACGAGCGCAACCCUUGUCCUUAGUUGCCAGCACGUAAUGGUGGGAACUCUAAGGAGACUGCCGGUGACAAACCGGAGGAAGGUGGGGACGACGUCGAGUCAUCAUGGCCCUUAUGGGCUGGGCUACACACGUGCUACAAUGGGCAGUACAGAGGGUCGCGAACCCGCGAGGGGGAGCCAAUCCCACAAAGCUGCUCUUAGUCCGGAUUGCAGUCUGCAACUCGACUGCAUGAAGUUGGAAUCGCUAGUAAUCGUAGAUCAGAACUGCUACGGUGAAUACGUUCCCGGGCCUUGUACACACCGCCCGUCACA